CCUACGGGUGGCAGCAGUGAGGAAUAUUGGUCAAUGGACGGAAGCCUGAACCAGCCAUGCCGCGUGCAGGAUGACGGCUCUACGAGUUGUAAACUGCUUUUGUACAAGGGUAAACCUGAAUACGUGUAUUCAGAUGAAAGUACUCUACGAAUAAGGAUUGGCCAACUCCGUGCCCGCCACCGCGGUAAUACGGGGGAUCCAAGCGUUAUCCGGAUUUAUUGGGUUUAAAGGGUGGGUAGGCGGGUAUAUAAGUUCAAGGGUAAAUGUUCGGGCUUAACUCGGGACGUGCCUUUAAUACUGUUGUUCUAGAGAGUGAGUGAGGUAGGCGGAAUGUAUGGUGUAGCGGUGAAAUGCUUAGAUAUCAUACAGAACUCCGAUUGCGAAGGCAGCUUACCAGUCUAUAACUGACGCUGAGGCACGAAAGCGUGGGUAGCGAACAGGAUUAGAUACCCUGGUAGUC
rnacentral:rRNA from 1 species